CCUACGGGAGGCUGCAGUGGGGAAUAUUGGGCAAUGGAGGCAACUCUGACCCAGCAACGCCGCGUGAGCGAUGAAGGUCUUCGGAUUGUAAAGCUCUUUAAGCGGGGACGAAGAAAGUGACUGUACCCGCAGAAUAAGCAUCGGCUAACUCCGUGCCAGCAGCCGCGGUAAUACGGAGGAUGCGAGCGUUAUCCGGAUUUAUUGGGUUUACAGGGUGCGCAGGCGGAAGAUCAAGUCAGCGGUAAAAUUGAGUGGCUAAAACUCUUCGAGCCGUUGAAACUGGUUUUCUUGAGUGAGCGAGCAGUAUGCGGAAUGCGUGGUGUAGCGGUGAAAUGCAUAGAGAUCACGCAGAACUCCGAUUGCGAAGGCAGCAUACCGGCGCUCAACUGACGCUCAUGCACGAAAGUGUGGGUAUCGAACAGGAUUAGAUACCCUAGUAGUC
rnacentral:rRNA from 1 species